CCUGUACCGGCCGAUAUCGUGGAGCAAUAUACAUCUGACUUGCAGGGGUUCUAAAAGAAAGGCUUAUUCAAAAAGAUACAGGUGGUGUAUCCUGUUCUUUACCUUUGUCUGUUAUGUGGCCUACCAUUUGUCUCGCAAGCCUAUCAGUGUGGUCAAGAGUGUUCUCCAUCACAAGAACUGCAGCACAGUUCCUCAUGACAAGACAGUCAACAUCACCAAUCCUUACUGGUGUGACUGGGCACCCUUUGGU
rnacentral:sRNA from 1 species